UAAUCAUCAUAUAAUUUUUUUAAGCGAUUGCCAUAUUUUUGAAAAUUCUGGUGAAUACAAUAUAAAAGUUUCUGACGAUUAUCAUGUUUUAUGACAAAUUUUAGUGUGAUUCAUAUGAAAAAUUAAGGCGAUUGCCAUAUUUUUAUGAGAAAUCCUCUGAUGAUCACCAUAUACAAAAUUUUGUCAAUUGCCGGGAGCACUUUCCAAAAUUUUGGCGGAGGCUAUUGUUUUUCGAGACUUCUCUUACCGAGGUCAAAAAGUUAAUAGUAUCAUCGAAGUAUCCUUUUUCUGUCAUUUUCCCAAAAAAUUGACAAAAAGUAACUCUUAUAACUCUCUCUCUCUCUAUUCACUUUUUUUCUCAACUCCAACCCAGAUGUCUUCUCCAACAACCCAUAACAUUCCCAUAAUUUUUUUUAAAUAGUCCUCUAUCGGCAGAAAAAAUGACAGGCCACCGGAAAGUUUCAUUACUGGCACAUUUUCAUAUAAUGUAUAGCAUAGUGUAUAUCUUAUAUAUCAUUGUAUAUUAUCCAUCGCAUUUUCAAACAAAGUAUAUCAAAUUGUAUGUCAUGUGUAUCAUUGUAUAUCACACAUCCAACGAUGUAUAUCACGGUAUACAACGUAAUAUACAUACAUGUAUACAUGUUGAUAUGCAAAUAUACACCACCACAAGCAUCCAAUGUUUCACAUAUUCAUACAUCAUCUGCCGCAUCACCUCCACAAAAAUUCCAUGACCACCAAUCAAUCGUGACAACACAAAAACCCACUACAAUAAAAAGAUUAAAAAAAGAGGGAAGAUUUUUUUAAUUUAAAAUUUACCCUUCCCAAGACCGUGCAUGAACGCGAGUUGCCUUGUGUAUCGGGUUUCCCUUUUUGUCUCCCAAUGUCAGCAACAAUUUACAAGUUUGAUGGGGUGGAACAAUAUCUUCGAAACAAGAGAGUUCAAUUAUGGAGGGAGAGAGAAAGAAAGAGGGGGAGGGGUAGCUACAUUGACUACCUAUUUUAUAGUGGUAGCAAGUCUGAUGAUGUGGAACAAUAUGCUUAGAACAACAGAGUUCAUGUACGAAGAGAGAGAGAGAGAUGGAAUGUGAUAUAUGGAGAAUAUAUGGUAAGUUGGGUAGAUGAGACUGUAAUUUGCCAAUUAUUUUAUAAAAAAUGAUAAACCUUGCUAAUAAUUUGGAGUUGUGCUAUUUCUUGCCAAUAGAUGGACCGAGUUGUAUCUACAUGCCAAUUUGAGUUGUGUCACUAUCUAUUAAGUAAGUACAUAUUAAUAAAGUUAGAUUUCACUGUGUUUUUUGUUGUUGUUGUUGUUGUUGUUUAUUAACAAAGUCGGAGGUAUUUUCUAUCUUACACCUUCUAAUUUGUGAUGAAUUUCUACAAAUAGCAAUUCAUAAAAAUCAACCAUUGGGAGGAGCUCACAAUAAACUUGGCUAAGCUGCAAACAGUGUGAAGAUUGAAGACAUCUCAUAAGCUAGUUGAACUACAGUUAUUUUUCAGUCCGUUAUAAGUUGUACUAUGACAAUCAAUUUAUAAUUCGGUAGUUAUUUGCUGUAUUCCAUUUUGGCUUGCUUUCCUGUAAAGUCUCUCAAAAUCUUCAAAGGGUUUAAGGCUUCAAAGCACUCUAGUAAUUCAUUUACUCAUCAUUUUGCAUGCCACUGAUGGCUUCGGAAGAGAAUGACAUCAUAUGAACAUAGUUUCACGCUCAUAAGGAGGCUUGAAAGCGGAUUCGGGUUGGUAUCAUGAUAGGGUAUUCAGAAAAUUGAGUCGAAAAAAGGAUUCAGGGGUGGGAUGCCAGGGGGCUUGCGUCGCGAACCCUGGAGACGUCCCAACCCUCAGGACUGAAAUGGGAGGCAGUGAAGUCCUCCAUCCACUAUUGGAAGAUUCGUGAUUAUGCAUAUGCUUGCAGAUCUAAGCUUACAACUCCAUCUCAAGCAAGUCAUAGUUUUUUUUUUUUUUUUUUUUUUUUUUUUUUUUUUUUUUUUUUGUUUUCAUGUUUUCUAUAUAGAUAUAUUAUUGGAUAAGGUUAUGUUUACAAUUGUAUUAGUAGGUAGAAGAGCACUUUAUCUCAGCUAUAGAAGAGACUAACAAUAAGAAUCCCCUGGAACCGCUACUGAUUUAUUAUGAUUCUGAUGAAGUCAGAAGGCAAGUUGCUGCUUCCACACAAAGGUUUAAAGAAGGUACUCUGGUAUAUAUUUUUGUAAGGUUAUAUGUAGACAUGUAUGCAGUUGUGCCAUUGUAUUUCAAAAGCAUGUCAUACCUGCUAUCUGCAUUUGACUUUACUAAGCUCCAUUUCUUAGCUGUUGUGUCGCUGAAGUGAAUUACCAAUCCUGGAUGGUAUCUUUAUGGCAGUUAAGGAUGACAUUGAUUGCUAUCCACAUUCAUCAAAGGGUGGAACAACUUGGUUUCACGAGGUUCAUGAAGUAAAGAAGGAUGCUGUUUGCGUCUCAAGAUUACGAAAUUGUGAUGUACUUUUGGUUGGCAAGACAAAUAUGCAUGAAUUGGGCCUUGGAACAACUGGAAAGAAUGCGAAAUUUGGGACAAUCAGGAAUCCACAUGCUCCAUAGAGGUACACGGGCGGGUCUUCCUCAUACACGCUGGAUUAGCGCUUGACAAGGAUGAUUUUCAAGUCAACAUCAUAGCAUUAGAGUGCUUUAUAUGGGUCAAGAUCAAGCAUGUCUAUAUUAACUACUUUGGCAAUUUAGGCUAGCUUUGUAAUUUGGCUCUACUUGGCUUUCUUACUAGCUUAAGGGUAUUUUGGUUAUUUAAUCCAAAUACCAGCCUAGUAUAAAUAGUCUCUUACUCUCAUUUUGAGAGGAAGCUUAUGAUGAAUUAGCAAAUAACUUGAGAGAUUUUAGGGUAUCUUACUUUCUCUUUAUUUUAUCAUAUUUUCUUAGAUUAUUCUA